AGCCGAUCAAUUUUUAUAUUAACACCACGUUACCUCAACGGCUCAACCUAUCUCUUUUCGUCGAUAGAGAUUCUUUCAUUCCAUUGAAUUCGAUCUAUCUGUUGACCUUUCUUUCGGUGUAAUUGUAGUAUGUUGAUCUAAUUAUACUAUGUUUUUCUCCCAUCUAUACUUCUGCUCACAUAUCUAUUUAUGAAAAAGGCCGCUCAGCUUUCAGAUCAAAAUUGAAAAUACUCAUCGUUAAUUGACCAAUCAACUGCACUGUGAUUAGGGUUUCAGUUAUUCCUUAGCUAGGAGGGAUUUGGGUUUCAAUCGACACGAUGACAUCAAAUCUAAUGACUUCCUUGAAAUCUCAUGACAAGGAGAAGACCGUUGCUCCUCGGAAGAAUCAGUAAUACCUCCCAUGUCCUUUUUCAUCAAUCUGUAUAUUAACUUACGUUGUUUUUCAAAAGGGAGGACAAAUCAGAAGCAAAAUUAUAGAGAGGGAGAAUGAAACAAGGCGGAGUGAUGGAGCAGAGAUCAAACAUGUAGAGAUGGAUUCCGCUUGGAUCUCCAGGAUUAGGCGGCGUUGAGGUUAAGAACGAGAAACCAGGCCCGUCCCUGCAUUAAAGCAGGUGAAGCAAUGGCUUUAAGCCACAUAUUAAAAAAAUAAAAUAUAUGCCACAUUUUCUAAUUUUAGUUGCAGGUCAAAUUGUUUCAUAGGAGAAGUUAGUGAUCUUCUUUCCUCUGGUUCGAUUUACACCACAACUCUCUUUGUUAUAAUUGUUUUGGCAAUUUACUAUAAGGGCCACAUUAUUUUUGACAUGCUUUAAGCAUUAAAAAUGUUUGGGACGGCACUGCGAGAAACAUAUGUCUCUUCAACGAGACAAGAUUGAAUAAGACGUGUUCAGCAGGAGUGGGAACAUGGCAUCUCACUAACCACGAAAGAGGACGAAGACCUUGCAGGACCAUCUCGAUGCAAGUCACCAAGUGUUCGACGAAUUGCCUCGCACACACUUUUACCAACAACUUUAUCAUCUUAGCCUUUUCGUUCAGGCUAUCUCUCCUAAUUUGCUAAUCAGCUUUUGUUUGAAACAUGUAUAUAAAUCUACAAAAUGAUGCUCAGGAAAUAAGGUUGGAGAUUUCAGUUACAGACGGAGAUGUGCUGAAGCAAACAUGUAGAUAAAUAAAGAAUUCGUUUUAUAAUGGCAGAUGCAAAUGAUUCUCCUACCAAAUUUAAAUACAUCUUCAGCUGCGGUCUCUUUGAUUGUGUAGAAGAAAGCAUUGGUUCGUUUAUGUAUAUACAAACGGUUGCUGGCAAGUAGUGGACACCAUGAGGCUUGCAAGGGGGAGGUGUCAAACUGAGGCGCUCUCCUAGAUGAUUAACUGAAUCUUACCGAUGCUCUGGUGGCAUACCAAACUGCCGCAAAAGCAGCGGCUCAGAUUCAGAGCGUUUCGGGAUAACACGUUGAAGGCGGCACAGUCAAAGGUUAUCCAGUUUGCCAACAUGGAAGAAGAGGCUAAGAGCAUAUGAUGAAGAUCUAGAAUGCUUUCUGCAAAUGUAUGUGUAGUAAUGUUAAAGCUUCUAUUUGGAUUCACUGUCGUUUCAGACAUGGAAAGUUCAAAGAGAGUUCUUCAAAAUGUGGGGUCAGCAAGUUAGGAUCCAGGUAUGUAGUGAUAUAGAUAUACAUGGACUUAGAAGAAGCGUUAAUGCAACCAACAAGGCAAUGAAAUCGCGGUGGUUGACGUGGUGUCGAAGUGGAUUAUAGAGAGGUGGAGAUACAGAGGCGGUGAUGAUCGAUUUAUAAUGGGGUAGAUGAUUGGGUUUAAGAAGAGUAGUUUUCGCUAAAGUUGAAGCCAUUGUCAAGACUUGGGGAAAGCUGUAUGAAUCUCUCCCAAAAAAUAUCAUCAAUUAGUCCCUUCAUAUCAUAUAAUCAUGACGUUUAUUACUAUUCACGGUUACCUAUUGUAGAUAUUUUUAAAAUAAUGGAUAAAGAGCUA